rnacentral:rRNA from 1 species
CCUACGGGUGGCAGCAGUGAGGAAUAUUGGUCAAUGGACGAGAGUCUGAACCAGCCAAGUAGCGUGAAGGAUGACUGCCCUAUGGGUUGUAAACUUCUUUUGCCGGGGAGCAACGGGGUCCUUGCGAGGGCCCGAUGAGAGUACCCGGAGAAAAAGCAUCGGCUAACUCCGUGCCAGCAGCCGCGGUAAUACGGAGGAUGCGAGCGUUAUCCGGAUUUAUUGGGUUUAAAGGGUGCGUAGGCGGGCUGUUAAGUCAGCGGUCAAAUGUCGGGGCUCAACCCCGGCCUGCCGUUGAAACUGGCGGUCUCGAGUGGGCGAGAAGUAUGCGGAAUGCGUGGUGUAGCGGUGAAAUGCAUAGAUAUCACGCAGAACUCCGAUUGCGAAGGCAGCAUACCGGCGCCCGACUGACGCUGAGGCACGAAAGCGUGGGUAUCGAACAGGAUUAGAUACCCGGGUAGUC